rnacentral:tRNA from 1 species
AUGUAAGGUCAGCUAACUAAGCUCUUGGGCUCAUGCCCCAAUCAUGUUGGUUAAAAUCCUCCCUUUACAG